CCCAACUAUCCCUAUUAAUCAUUACGGCGGCCCUCGAAACCAACAAAAUAGGUCCGACGUCCUAUUUUAUUAUUCCAUGCUAACUUAUUCAGGCGUCGAAGCCCGCUUUGAGCACUCUAAUUUUCUCAAGGUAAAGGUCCUGGUUCCCCGCGGACACCAACCGAAUGGCAUCCAACGCUCGCCAGAAGGUAAGGACCCGCGACGAUGCAGUACUCGCCCUAAAGCGGACCGCCCGCGCGGGCCUAAGGUUCAACUACGAGCUUUUUAACUGCAGCAACUUUAAUAUACACUCUUGGAGCUGGAAUUACCGCGGCUGCUGGCACCAGACUUGCCCUCCAA
rnacentral:misc_RNA from 1 species